CCUUAUUGGAGUCACCUUGUGCUGACUUUGAUAGCCUGUGUGCCUGAAACAUGCACUCCCACACACACAAUCUGACCCACACCUAUCCACAUGUACCUGCCCAUACAUACACAGACCUUUCUGUGUAUCCCCCAGAGCUACAAAUGCCAAUCUUGAGAAUGAAGAUUUUGCAAGCUGUCUGUGCCAGGCAUGAUGCCAGGUCCCUGACAACACAAGACCCCUCUGGUUUCUCCCACUCAGCUGUGCAAGGUUCGGGGUUGAGGAGCUCCCCCUGCCAAGGUCACAGACGUGGAACAUGAGGUAACAGCUAUUUGAAUGUAAGCCUGUAGGUCACCAAAACAUAAGCCAUCUGCACCGCACCACACUGCCUCCAAAGCACAUGAAGCCAUGAGUCUAUCAACUGUGACUCAUUAGUAGCCAGUAACAUUUCCUCCUCCACUUCGCUUCCCACUGUCACUCCAGUAUCUCUGCCCACAGUCCCAGAGCCACCUCUGCUUAACGGGGAGGUCAGGACAGAUGCUCCAUUCCACCUGAUGCCAUCUUCGUCCUGGGUCCAGCAGAUCUGGCAGGAAUGAGGAACGGGAAGCUCAUGGGUAAAGGCUGCAGCCAGGCAGGGAAAGGCCUCACUCUCCCUGCCACUCCUUUCCCUGCUCCCCACUUUCCUGUCCCAUCUUUGCUAAUAGGCUCAGCAUCUCCAACUGCACCCACCCACUAGAUUUGCCCCAAUUCCUCCUCCUCUCUCAUGCCUGAGGCCUAGGUGGCUUCCAGAGCUGACCAGGUCUACUUUAGAAUUUUAAUGAGAUAAUCUGGGUAGAAGUGCUGGUGCCCUCCCAGCCACAGCAGGUACUCCUCAUAUGGUAAACUGGAACUGUCUUCUCAGUUCCUACAGCCGUGGGUUCAAAUUCUCCCUAAUCU
rnacentral:lncRNA from 1 species